AUCACUUCUCACUCUUUUGGCUAAGGUCAAGUGUAG
rnacentral:snRNA from 1 species